rnacentral:misc_RNA from 1 species
AAGUCGUAACAAGGUUUCCGUAGGUGAACCUGCGGAAGGAUCAUCAAUGAAAAAAUCCAGCCAAAACACUUGGGCAUUCUAGCCUGGUUGGUUGUCAUUUUUGACAUCAAGUAGGUCUAAGUUUUUUAGACCAGGGAAUUGACGGAAAACAAAUUAGACCAGAAAUUGGUCAAGGUAAACUUUCAGGUUCAAGUUUAACUCUUGACCUGAUAUUUACAGUAGAAAAAAAAAACAACUUUCGGCAACGGAUCUCUCGGCUCUCC